AUUGAACGCUGGCGGCAGGCCUAACACAUGCAAGUCGAGCGGAUGAAGGGAGCUUGCUCCUGGAUUCAGCGGCGGACGGGUGAGUAAUGCCUAGGAAUCUGCCUGGUAGUGGGGGAUAACGUCCGGAAACGGGCGCUAAUACCGCAUACGCCCUGAGGGAGAAAGUGGGGGAUCUUCGGACCUCACGCUAUCAGAUGAGCCUAGGUCGGAUUAGCUAGUUGGUAGGGUAAAGGCCUACCAAGGCGACGAUCCGUAACUGGUCUGAGAGGAUGAUCAGUCACACUGGAACUGAGACACGGUCCAGACUCCUACGGGAGGCAGCAGUGGGGAAUAUUGGACAAUGGGCGAAAGCCUGAUCCAGCCAUGCCGCGUGUGUGAAGAAGGUCUUCGGAUUGUAAAGCACUUUAAGUUGGGAGGAAGGGCAGUAAGUUAAUACCUUGCUGUUUUGACGUUACCAACAGAAUAAGCACCGGCUAACUUCGUG
rnacentral:rRNA from 1 species